UACGAGGGGGGCGAGCGUUGUUCGGAAUUAUUGGGCGUAAAGGGUGCGUAGGCGGUUUGGUAAGUCUGAUGUGAAAGUCGGGGGCUCAACCCUCGGAUGCCGGUGGAUACUGUCGGGCUUGAGUACGGAAGAGGCGAGUGGAAUUCCUGGUGUAGCGGUGAAAUGCGCAGAUAUCAGGAGGAACACCAAUUGCGAAGGCAGCUCGCUGGGACGUUACUGACGCUGAGACGCGAAAGCGUGGGGAGCAAACAGG
rnacentral:rRNA from 1 species